AUCUUGUAGUGAACACCUGAGGAUUCUUGAAGAGCUCACUGGUCUUCACUCUACAUUUGGAAGUCCAAAACAUGGUUCUGGUGUCACAAGAAAGGGAAGAUGCUGCAUCAGUAAUUGUGACAACAAUAUGGUGGGAGCAGUUUCAAAGAGAGGCGAGCAAGGAAACAGCAAAAGCUUCUGCAUUGGACCUCCUUACAUCUGGACAGUCAUUAGUUAGGCAGCAUUAUUUGUAAUAGCCAGAACCUGGAAGCAACCUAGAUGCCCCUCAACUGAAGACUGGAUAAAGAAAAUGUGAUACAAUUACACAAUGGAGUACUACUCAGCAGAAAAAAAAAAAACAAUGGAAUCUUGAAAUUCACAGGCAAAUGGAUGGAACUAGAAGAAAGCAUCUUGAGUGAGAGUCAACUAUUCGAGACAGUACAUUAUCUCCUUUCAAAUCUCUUGGAUUCAAUGAUUGAAAGAUUGAACAAUGGUUAGAUGAAAAGAUUAUUGUUUGAUUCUGUGAAACCUGUGCUGCUUCCCCAUUGAAAGUAAUCUCUUCUUGGAGACAAACAUUUCAAGAUACCACAUAAAAACUUGCUUAAGCCACAUGCACACCUAUAAUCUUCAUGUUCUUAUUGGGGAGUCGAAGAUGGAGGAGAAUCCACAGAGUUCAAUGCCCUGGUACAUGGUAUAUUCAAGAACAUACAGGAUACCCUGUCUCAAACAAAUUGCAAACAGCG
rnacentral:lncRNA from 1 species